UACAGAGGUCUCAAGCGUUGUUCGGAUUCAUUGGGCGUAAAGGGUGCGUAGGCGGCGCGGUAAGUCGGGUGUGAAAUCUCGGAGCUUAACUCCGAAACUGCAUUCGAUACUGCCGUGCUUGAGGACUGGAGAGGAGACUGGAAUUUACGGUGUAGCGGUGAAAUGCGUAGAUAUCUGGAGGAACACCGGUGGCGAAGGCGGCAUCCUGGACCGAAACUGACACUGAGGCGCGAAAGCCAGGGGAGCAAACGGG
rnacentral:rRNA from 1 species